rnacentral:rRNA from 1 species
UACAGAGGGUGCGAGCGUUAAUCGGAAUUACUGGGCGUAAAGCGCGCGUAGGCGGCUUUGCAAGUCGGGUGUGAAAUCCCCAGGCUUAACCUGGGAACUGCAUUCGAGACUGCAUUGCUAGAGUAUGGGAGAGGGAAGUGGAAUUCCCGGUGUAGUGGUGAUAUGCGUAGAUAUCGGGAGGAACACCGGUGGCGAAGGCGGCCUUCUGGACGGAUACUGACGCUGAGACGCGAAAGCGUGGGGAGCAAACAGG